UGGGGAAUUUUGGACAAUGGGCGAAAGCCUGAUCCAGCAAUGCCGCGUGUGUGAAGAAGGCCUUCGGGUUGUAAAGCACUUUUGUCCGGAAAGAAAUCCUUGGCUCUAAUACAGUCGGGGGAUGACGGUACCGGAAGAAUAAGCACCGGCUAACUACGUGCCAGCAGCCGCGGUAAUACGUAGGGUGCAAGCGUUAAUCGGAAUUACUGGGCGUAAAGCGUGCGCAGGCGGUUUGCUAAGACCGAUGUGAAAUCCCCGGGCUCAACCUGGGAACUGCAUUGGUGACUGGCAGGCUAGAGUAUGGCAGAGGGGGGUAGAAUUCCACGUGUAGCAGUGAAAUGCGUAGAGAUGUGGAGGAAUACCGAUGGCGAAGGCAGCCCCCUGGGCCAAUACUGACGCUCAUGCACGAAAGCGUGGGGAGCAAACAGGAUUNGAUACCCUGGUAGUCACGCCCUAAACGAUGU
rnacentral:rRNA from 1 species